AUAAUGGUCAUCUCAUACCAAAACACAAUUUGAAAAUACAAGUAAAAGAAAAAAAAGUAACCAUAUAGAGAAACUUUGAAAGUAGACCCCUCAAGUAGGACUCUCUAUCCUCUAAGUUUUCUUCUUUAUUUCUCAACUCUCCUCUUUCGAUCAUCAUUCACAUGACGCAACCAGAUAUUUUUCUCACUUUUUCCUCACUAGGUUAUUUUUUCUCACUUUAUAAAAGAAACAAAUACAAAAGAUUGCGAGCUGCGUAUUCGGCCGCCAUCUAAGCAUAACACACAACACAAAGCAUGAUUGUUGUGUCAGGAGAGAGGGGCAUGUCCCCCUUCUCUAUCUCUAGCUUUUGAGGCUCUAUAUAAGAGACAUUAUCGGACCAGACAUUAUCUUCAUUUUGUUCUCUUUGUCCCUCUACCUUCCAUACAAAUCUCUCUCCUCUACAAACAUAUAAACACACUACACUUCUUCCUCACCCUAUUCGAACAC
rnacentral:lncRNA from 1 species